UUGCUAAGGCUGAUGGCGACCGGCGCACGGGUGAGUAACACGUAUCCAACCUGCCGUCUACUCUUGGCCAGCCUUCUGAAAGGAAGAUUAAUCCAGGAUGGCAUCAUGAGUUCACAUGUCCGCAUGAUUAAAGGUAUUUUCCGGUAGACGAUGGGGAUGCGUUCCAUUAGAUAGUAGGCGGGGUAACGGCCCACCUAGUCAACGAUGGAUAGGGGUUCUGAGAGGAAGGUCCCCCACAUUGGAACUGAGACACGGUCCAAACUCCUACGGGAGGCAGCAGUGAGGAAUAUUGGUCAAUGGGCGAUGGCCUGAACCAGCCAAGUAGCGUGAAGGAUGACUGCCCUAUGGGUUGUAAACUUCUUUUAUAAAGGAAUAAAGUCGGGUAUGCAUACCCGUUUGCAUAUACUUUAUGAAUAAGGAUCGGCUAACUCCGUGCCAGCAGCCGCGGUAAUACGGAGGAUCCGAGCGUUAUCCGGAUUUAUUGGGUUUAAAGGGAGCGUAGAUGGAUGUUUAAGUCAGUUGUGAAAGUUUGCGGCUCAACCGUAAAAUUGCAGUUGAUACUGGAUGUCUUGAGUGCAGUUGAGGCAGGCGGAAUUCGUGGUGUAGCGGUGAAAUGCUUAGAUAUCACGAAGAACUCCGAUUGCGA
rnacentral:rRNA from 1 species